rnacentral:rRNA from 1 species
GACGAACGCUGGCGGCGUGCCUAAUACAUGCAAGUAGAACGCAGUUGCGAACGGGUGAGUAACGCGUAGGUAACUGCCUCCUAGCGGGGGAUAACUAUUGGAAACGAUAGCUAAUACCGCAUACUGUGAGAUGGACCUGCGUUGUAUUAGCUAGUUGGUUAGGUAAAGGCUCACCAAGGCGACGAUACAUAGCCGACCUGGGUGGGGGAGCGGCCACACUGGGACUGAGACAAGGGCCAGACUCCCAAGGGAGGCAGCAGUAGGGGAUCUUCGGCAAUGGACGGAAGGCUGACCGAGCAAAGCCGGGGGAGUGAAGAAGGUUUUCGGAUCUUAAAGCUCGGUUGUUAGAGAAGCGGUAACUAACGAGAAAGGGACGGCUAACUACGUGCCAGCAGCCGCGGUAAUUC